rnacentral:rRNA from 1 species
GCAAGUCGAGCGAGAAAGUUCCUUCGGGAGCGAGUAAAGCGGCGGACGGGUGAGUAACGCGUAAGAAUCUGCCCUUCAGUGAAGAAUACCCUCGAGAAAUCGGGGUUAAUGCUGCAUACGUCCCUUCGGGGAGAAAGAUGGCCUCUUUGCUGUCGCUGAGGGAUGAGCUUGCGUACUAUUAGCUUGUUGGUGGGGUAAAGGCCCACCAAGGCGAUGAUGGUUAGCCGGCCUGAGAGGGUGAUC